UAGGGAAUCUUCGGCAAUGGGGGGAACCCUGACCGAGCAACGCCGCGUGAGUGAAGAAGGUUUUCGGAUCGUAAAGCUCUGUUGUUAAGGAAGAACGAGUGUGAGAAUGGAAAGUUCAUGCUGUGACGGUACUUAACCAGAAAGGGGCGGCUAACUACGUGCCAGCAGCCGCGGUAAUACGUAGGUCCCGAGCGUUGUCCGGAUUUAUUGGGCGUAAAGCGAGCGCAGGCGGUUAGAAAAGUCUGAAGUGAAAGGCAGUGGCUCAACCAUUGUAGGCUUUGGAAACUGUUUAACUUGAGUGCAGAAGGGGAGAGUGGAAUUCCAUGUGUAGCGGUGAAAUGCGUAGAUAUAUGGAGGAACACCGGUGGCGAAAGCGGCUCUCUGGUCUGUAACUGACGCUGAGGCUCGAAAGCGUGGGGAGCGAACAGG
rnacentral:rRNA from 1 species